UACGUAGGGGGCAAGCGUUGUCCGGAUUUAUUGGGCGUAAAGCGCGUGUAGGCGGCCAGAUAGGUCUGCUGUGAAAACUCGAGGCUCAACCUCGAGCUGUCGGCGGAAACCAUCUGGCUAGAGUCCGGAAGAGGAGAGUGGAAUUCCUGGUGUAGCGGUGAAAUGCGCAGAUAUCAGGAAGAACGCCUAUGGCGAAGGCAGCUCUCUGGGACGGUACUGACGCUGAGACGCGAAAGCGUGGGGAGCGAACAGG
rnacentral:rRNA from 1 species